AAUCAACGCUGGCGGCGUGCCUAACACAUGCAAGUCGAACGCGAAAGAGGGGGUAACUCCUCGAGUAGAGUGGCGAACGGGUGAGUAACACGUGAGAAACCUGCCUUCAGCAGGGGGACUAACACUCCCAACGGGGUGCUAAUACCGCAUGAGACCACGGAUUCGCAUGGAUCUGGGGUCAAAGGUGGCCUCUGCUUGCAAGCUACCGGCUGAAGAUGGUCUCGCGUCCCAUUAGCUAGUUGGUGGGGUAAUGGCCACCAAGGCGACGAUGGGGUAGCUGGUCUGAGAGGAUGGUCAGCCACACUGGGACUGAGAUA
rnacentral:rRNA from 1 species